AUUGAACGCUGGCGGCAUGCUUUACACAUGCAAGUCGAACGGCAGCGCGGGCUUCGGCCUGGCGGCGAGUGGCGAACGGGUGAGUAAUACAUCGGAACGUGCCCAGUAGUGGGGGAUAGCUCGGCGAAAGCCGGAUUAAUACCGCAUACGACCUGAGGGUGAAAGCGGGGGAUCUUCGGACCUCGCGCUAUUGGAGCGGCCGAUGGCAGAUUAGCUAGUUGGUGGGGUAAAGGCCUACCAAGGCGACGAUCUGUAGCUGGUCUGAGAGGACGACCAGCCACACUGGGACUGAGACACGGCCCAGACUCCUACGGGAGGCAGCAGUGGGGAAUUUUGGACAAUGGGCGAAAGCCUGAUCCAGCAAUGCCGCGUGUGUGAUGAAGGCCUUCGGGUUGUAAAGCACUUUUGGCGGGAACGAAAAGGACUGUGCCAAUACCACGGUUCGAUGACGGUACCCGGAGAAUAAGCACCGGCUAACUACGUG
rnacentral:rRNA from 1 species